rnacentral:rRNA from 1 species
AUUGAACGCUGGCGGCAUGCCUUACACAUGCAAGUCGAACGGUAACAGGUCUUCGGAUGCUGACGAGUGGCGAACGGGUUAGUAAUACAUCGGAACGUGCCUAUGAGUGGGGGAUAACUACUCGAAAGAGUGGCUAAUAUCGCAUGAGAUCUACGGAUGAAAGCAGGAGAUCGCAAGACCUUGUGCUACUAUCGCUGCCGAUGGCAGAUUAGGUAGUUGGUAGGAUAAAAGCGUACCAAGCCGACGCUCUGUAGCUGGUCUGAGAGGACGAUCAGCCACACUGGGACUGAGACACGGCCCAGACUCCUACGGGAGGCAGCAGUGGGGAAUUUUGGACAAUGGGCGCAAGCCUGAUCCAGCAAUGCCGCGUGCAGGAUGAAGGCCUUCGGGUUGUAAACUGCUUUUGUACGGAACGAAAAGCCCUGGGUUAAUACCCUGGGGUCAUGACGGUACCGUAAGAAUAAGCACCGGCUAACUACGUGCCAGCAGCCGCAGUAAAAC